GUGAAUUCAAACCGCAAGUUCCAGCAGUGAGCGGCGAAGCCGAGAUCCCGAAUCAGGUGUGGGCCAUAGCCCAGCCUUAGCCCGUGCACUGAUUACUCCUCCUUUUUACAGAAGGCCAAAUCUGCUCCUUUCUUAAGACUGAAGGAAACUUAAUAAAACCACGUCAGUGAAGUCCCUCUUGGAUUACUGCAGCUCUGUAUCGGAAAUCCGCAAUGGAUCGUGGAUGUGCAUCUCUACCUCCGCCGGAGCAUGACAACUCCCAUCUCCGCUGGCCUUCCCAAAGGUUUGAAGUGAUGGUUCUCCACCAUGUGCUGCCUGCAAGCAGCUGAUGAAGCACCAACCUGGAGCAGAGGCUAGCGGGG
rnacentral:lncRNA from 1 species